rnacentral:lncRNA from 1 species
UCAAUUUGACCCUAAUGACAGAGGACAAAUGUGGGCCACAGUUAGCAAAAUAGUGGCAUAGUCAUUUAAGGGUAAUCUAGGUCUAAACCUAAAGUGGCUCACAUGUGUAGGUGAAAAUGUGGCCCAGUUAUCUUAAGACAGGCACAGUAAGCCAACAAUCCAUUCAGUAUAUGGUCCAGAUGUAAGUGUCGGGUGUAGGCCACAUCUGGGCCAGAAUAAAAGCAAACUGUGGCCCAGAAUAGGGUCAGUUCUGGUUCAUUUGGUUGAAUUCUGGCUCAUAUGUGAUAUUGCUAUGGCUUAAUAGUGGCCCAGAUCUGACAUGUGUAUGCUAAUGCAAAUGUAUCACUUUUAAAUUCGUUUACGCUUCAUAAUUCUUCUGUGUCUCGUUUCUCCAUUCAGAGAUCUCACUGGGAAUCGACUGAGUAAUUUGCCAAUGACUGGACUGACAAGUCUUACUCAUCUCAAACUGAAAGGCAACAUGGCACUGUCACGUUCCUUCGGAUUGGAGGACUUCCCCAACAUAAGGGUCAUCGAGAUGCCAUAUGCCUAUCAGUGCUGUGUUUUUGGAGGCUGUAGCAGUUACAGAUCUGCCAGCCAGUGGGAAGAACAGAUGGGCAGUGAAGAGGAAGAUUUCCAGAAGAAAUCUCCGUCCCUGUUCCCCAUUCACACUGACAACAACUAUGACCUUGACUUAGAAGAAUUCCAGUUAGCGAUUGAAGAGUCCAAGCUACAGACCAGCAUACAGUGCACCCCCAUACCAGGUAAAUUCAAUCCACAACAACUCUAUUUUUUUGAAUGAAUGCCACCAAGACUACAAAGGCCUGUUCAAAUGAAUCAACAAUCAUGUUAAAGGAAGAUGUAUUUGCUACAAAAAUGUGUCUUGCUCCAGUUACACUCUGAGAGGGACCUGAACUGGAAUUUCCUGUAUGGGAGUUGGACAAGCUCACAAAGACAUGAAAUACUUUAGUCUUUAGGUUCAGUCACUAGUGCAGCUCUAAAGGCCAUUUUUAGAUGGUUUACUCACACAGCUUCUUCUAGCCUGGGGUCCGUUCUUUGAACCUCGCUUAAAUGAUCUAAGAUGAUUUGGCAGAUCCUGGAUCUGUUCAUCUCGAUAACUGGUCUCUCGCUAAUUUGGUUCUUCAAACAAGUUCGCGAAUCAGAUUAGAAUGUCUGGAUGAACUGAUCUGAGAUCACUGCGUGUGUUGUGAAGGACAGAUCAAUCAAUUCUCGAAAUCAUGAUCAGCAAUGCAACGAUUGGCUUAAUGCGUAAUGACAUCAUCUGAUUAAUAUUCAACUAUCCAUGUGAGCAAAAUUACAUCAAAUUAGCAGUAAACCGUUUGUUAAAUAUGACAUGCAAUAACCUUCCACAUUUGUUGUGAGCUGCAGGCUUUACACUUUCAUGUGUCAAGAGUAUUCAUCAUGUAUUUCAAUGCAUAUCAGUGUAUUUAGUUCUACAUUUAGAAAAUAUUUUCUUUAUUAUAGUAGCCGUUUUUUUAAUCGGUGUAAAGAAUAACUGGAUGUUUACAAAAGCAUUUUGAUAUUGGUAACGGUGUCUGCAACUUUUGUGAAGCAUCAAAUCACCGGCAUAUUAACUGUCAAAACAUGUUUAUGAUUGCAUGUAUUAUUGCUUUUAAAAAAAAGUCACAUAUAUGUACUAAUAGUUACUAUU